AAGAGACAUCACCGAGGCAUAGGAUUCACCUAAACAAAGAAGCGUGUGUGUGAUGUGGGGAUGGAGAGGAGUGGGAUGGUUCCUACAGGACGAGUGGAAUGACAAGGCUGAUAGCAAGCCAUUGAUUGUGAUCAUCUUCAAGCUGGCUUACAAAAGAAUAUGCCGUGACUCUAAUAGAGAAAUGUCCUCUCUUGGAACCAGACUCUAUGCUGUGAGGAAGCCCAAGGCUCCAACGGGAGGCUGAUGUGAAGCAAAACCAAGGCCCCUUAGCUGAGCUUCCAGCUGAUAACCAAUAUUGAUUUUCAACCAUCUGAGGGAAACAUUUUGGAUGCCAGCCCAGCUGAGCCUUCAGAUGCAGCCCCAGAUGAAAGCUGAAUCAAGCAACCCCAUGAGAGAUCCCAAAGGAGAACCAUGCAGCCAAGUCCCAUCAACCACAGAACCACUGAGAGAUCAUAAUAAAUUGUUGCUUCAAGCCCAUAAGUUUUGGGGUGUUUUGUUACACAGCAACAGUAGAAAGAGUCAGCUAUGGUUCUUUUAAGAAAGGGCAUCCCUGAUUUCCUAAACUCUAGCCUUAACAUUUUAUAGACUCAUUUUGUGUCUCUGUUUUACAAAGUAUCCCAAUAGUUUCUGUUUUUUAAAAGAUAAAUUAGAAGAUAGUCAUUUACAUUGUCAAA